UGCAGCCAACAGAAAGGGGCGGGGACGGACCUUUCCGUCAGUCCCAUACCUUAUUUGGAAAUGGGACUAUUGCAUUCCGGAAACGAAGGGGGCGCUGUUUUCAUAAUCACUAGUAUAAAUACCUUAAAGACGCGGGGUUAAGAGGAAAGGAAGAAGAAAGAAAGAAUUUUAAGAGGUUCUUCCACUGGAGUUCGGCACACGAUCAACAAUGCAAAACCCACAAAGUCAAGAAAAGAUCCACCUAUCCAUUUGCAAAAUUCGGAACGGAGAGGAGAUUCUCCCGUAUUGCUACGAUAAAUAUUGCUGUCGAGGCUACAGAACCAUAAAGCACAAACUGCUAUGGUUCAACAUAACGAGAAGUCUGUCUUCAGAUGUCAUCUGGACCUGGACAGAAUCUGUUCUGUAAUGAUGUUAAGGGAUUGUCUGAACAAGGACUGUCCAGCAACUGUUUUAAUGUUUGUAGUCAUGUGUACACUGUACUUUGUGAUGGGAGCAUCAUGUGAUUUCAGUGAGGAUGAUAUGAUGACAAUACGAAGAUGGUCUCUCUCUCUCUCUUAAGAAACUUCCCUGUGAGGUCCAGAGAAGAACAACAAAAGGAGAGAAAGCAGAAAAAAAGUUGAUGAAGGCAAAAUGUGAGGUAAAAUUCAUCACUUUGUAGUUUUAAAUCAUGUAAUUUGUAUUAUGUCCAUUCACAGUGUACUUUUGUUCUAUGCUUAUUUUUUUAAGUCCGAAAGAAAAUCAAGAUAGAAAAAUUAAAAGGGUUGAAGCAGUUUUGAUGUUAUUUGGACUUGCAUUCUUCUUUCACUUAGAACAAAUCUGUAUUUUUACAGACUGUGUGCUGAUGGCCACACUGAUCCCAAAGCAGUCGAGGCACAAAUUGAGAUAAAUUUUUAAAUUUACACAUAACUAGUAAUGUUGAUUUGUAUAUCUUUAUGUGCAAUUGAGACUAAAACCCUAAAUGAUUUAAAUAAAUAAUAAUUUUAAUUCAUUAUUUGGACAUAAUUUUUUACACCAUUAGAGAUGAAAGGAUAAGAUUCUGAGAGAGAUAAAGUAUAAAUUAUUAUUUAAUGCUCUUCACCAUGCAGGUGCAAAGGAUACCACCAAUCUUACAGGUCAGAUUCAUCCAUCAUGUGUCAGAGCCAUUCUUCCUGUUUCACAGUCUUGCAAUACACCUGUUUUUGUAUUAAUUUGUUUUUUUAUUUCCAGAUGCCUCUGCAUGGACUUGAAGCUGUUGUCCAGGUGGAGGUUCUGACCCAGGUUCUGACCCAGGAGACACAGCUGACCUCACCUUGGCAUUGACCUGCAGGUCCUUUCAUUGUGUCUGACCCAGGUUUCAGGAAGAAGACUCACUUUGCUUGGCUGGACGAUCAACUGGGGGAAAUUUUCAGUCAUUCCAGGCAGAAAACCGGAUUCCUCUUGCUGUUGUAACGUGUUCUUCCUGCCACCGGCGAUAUAAAGACUGUGGGCUUCACCGGCAGUGGAAGACCAGGAGAGAUCCCUCCUUCUUACUGUGAUGGGUCUUCUGGACCCUGACCUGAAUGUCAACACUGAAUUCAAGAGAAUAUUAGUUGUUUUCCACAAUCUGUCACACAUUUCAGUCGUCACACAUUGUUGUUCAUUCUUUUUUUUUUGUGACAUGUUAAAUAGUUUCUGAUAAAGAAUAUUUACCUUUUGACUUGUGCAGGGAUCCUUUUUCAUAAUGUGUUCUUUCAAUAUUAUUUACAUUUUUGAAAGUUUCUUUUGUUGUAGCUCAGUUGAUUUACAUAAUUUAGUUUUCAUAGAAAUGGUGUCGUUUCCACAUAAAGUUACUUUGUGGCUGUAAUUUGUUGGAGAGACAGUAGAACCAAUAAAGUAGUUGUAAAUAUAUUUUAACAGCGCUAACAAUUGGAAAACCUUGUUUAAACAUUUUAAAUGCAAGCCAAGUUAAUAACUUGUUAUAUUUAUAUGUAUAAAUACAAAGUUUCCUGAACAUUUUGAACAAUGACUGGAAUCAGUCCAGAUUUUCUUUCCAAACCCGACAGACAGAGAAGUUGUUUAUGUUUUAACAGUGAGAAUCAACUGUUGGUUUUUUGUAAUAAAGCAAGUAUAUACAGAAACAUAUUGUUCAUUUACAAAUCAUAAUACAAACAUAAGAUUAAAGUUAUCCUGAGCUGGACUUUCUGAAGGGUGGAGGAGACGAGACCGGCGCCGUUAGGCUGGGAGGGAGACACCUGACCAGGUGAUUGGCGGACCAGGUGAGAUGAAGACAGUUAGAAAUUACACAUUGGUCUAAUUUAUGUAUCCAGUGACUUUAUCCAAAAAGGUUUUCAUAUAGAAAAGAGAUGAUUCUCUCUGGUGGUUACCAGCUCAGUGUUUA